rnacentral:lncRNA from 1 species
UUGAGAUAUGAGAGACAAAUAAUUAAAGGGAUUUUAUUGUUUUUGAGAUUAAAAUAGAGCAAUUGGAUUAUGUGGAAGAAGAAUUGGAACGAGUGGAAAGAAAUUUAGGUGACUGAAUCAGAGGGUCUUGAUUUGCGGGGUGCAUGCGAUUUGGGUUCAGAGAUCAUCCUAAAUCAAUUUGACUUGAUCUGCAUCCAUUAGACUCAACCAUUAAAUAAUUAAAUCAGCUCGAAUUACCUCUGAUAAUUAUUAAAAUGCAAUGAUGAUGGUAACACAUAUUUUAUGGUUAAAUUUACGAAAUAUGCAAAUUAAAAUAAUGAUAAGUGCUAUGAAUAAAAGGUUAAUUUAUGCAUUAUUUAGUACUUAUCAGGCCGCAUGGGGAAAGAAGGAAGAAGAGAUGAAGAAUCACAAUUACAAACUAGGGUUUUCAUGGAGAAGAAGAGGAAGAGAAGAGAGAACGUGGAAGAAAGUUUUCUGGCGGCUCCUUUAUUGCUCAAGCAAUAAUCCAAGUGAUAGCCCUAAAACUGAUUACAUCAAGCCUUUAUAUAGGCUCUCAAUUUUAGUCUAAUCAUACACCAACUCAAUUUCUCCCUAAGCCACAUUAGAAAGCACUCAA